AUUGAACGCUGGCGGCAGGCCUAACACAUGCAAGUCGAACGGAGCGGCGGACGGGUGAGUAAUGCCUAGGAAUCUGCCUGGUCGUGGGGGAUAACGUACGGAAACGGGCGCUGAUACCGCAUACUAUCAGAUGAGCCUAGGGCGGAUUAGCUAGUUGGUGGGGUAAAGGCCUACCAAGGCGACGAUCCGUAAAUGGUCUGAGAGGAUGAGAAGUCACACGUGAAAUGAGACACGGUCCAGAUGCCUACGGUAGUGAGCAGGGGGGAAUAUUGGACAAUUGGCGAAAGCCUGAUCCAGCCAUGCCGCGUGUGUGAAGAAGGUCUUCGGAUUUUAAAGCACUUUAAGUUGGGAGGCGUUACCAACAGAAUAAGCACCGGCUAACUUCGUGCCAGCAGCCGCGGUAAUUC
rnacentral:rRNA from 1 species